CCUCUCAAGGACGAUGAAAUCAUCGACUACAUGAUCACCGGGUUGGGCUCCGACAUCAACCCCCUCGCGGCCUCUAUGAUCCGCGACAACCGCGCUGACUCUCUCGCGGACUUCUACUCGCACGUGCUCAGUUUUGAGU